GACGAACUGUGCGAACGUUAUUCGGAAUCACUGGGCUUACAGGGUGCGUAGGCGGCUGUCUAAGUCCGAUGUGAAAUCCCCCGGCUCAACCGGGGAAUAGCGUUGGAAACUGGACGGCUUGAGUGAGGUAGGGGCGCGUGGAACUUCCGGUGGAGCGGUGAAAUGUGUUGAUAUCGGAAGGAACGCCGGUGGCGAAAGCGGCGCGCUGGGCCUCAACUGACGCUGAGACGCGAAAGCGUGGGGAGCAAACAGG
rnacentral:rRNA from 1 species